GUAAGGAAAUGCUGCCUUUGUGAAGGUAAACCAAGGUCAUGCUCUGGGUCCCGGUGUCCCCAGAAUUCCUUCCACUAUGGCCCUGCAUCUGCCCCUGUGUCUUGGGCAGCCUCUUCCCUGGGUUCAUCCUCCAAGGUCAGGACAUUCCACCAACAUGUAUUCGUAGACAUGAUCCUGAGUACCAGCAAAAUGGCUGAUGCCAGCUAGUCUGAAGACCCCAAAACUAAGUCAACACAAAAAUACAGUUUCUUCAUCUCCCUGUCCCCUGAUUUCACCUUUUACUCUUUCAUUAAUCCAUGACCCCAGGUCCACAACCCAUCCUAAACCCCUUAAGAUCCCUAUCCCCAAACUCCUUGGGAAGACAGAUGUGAGAUUUCCUCUUACCUCCUUGUUUGAAUCCCUGAUGAUUAAACUUCUUUCUCUGCUACAAUUCUUUGUGUCUCCAUGUAUUGACUUGCCACAUAUUGGGCAAUGGAGCCUGGCACGAUUACACCUGGAGCGGAUGGCCUUACGUGGAGCAUGGGCCCUACCUGGGGCAGUGAACAUCUCUGAAGACAUUUCCUUCGGGUGGUGAGUCAGGUAUACAAGGAUCCCCUUCUAAAGUGUGGAGCUUGGCAUUGAGCAAGCAAAGCUGGAAGAAGGGAAGCCAGUCAAGGAGCUGUUGAAAUAAUUUAUGUAGAUGUCUGUCCCACAGACCCUGACCCAAUGAUAAAUCAAUACAGUACACUGACACAGAUAUUCUGCUUAGCCAGUUUGGCUGAGUGUCUGGGCCACUUACAGACUCCCAGAAGAGUGCUGUAAACAGUUGCGACCAAGGCCUCGGCUAGCCAGCAAGACUAGCAUUUAUUCAGUAAAGAUUAAUUGACAAAGGCUUGAGUCAACACCACUAGAGUGUAACUGACAUUGCAGACUUCCCAAAUAGAAAGUAAUUAAUCACCUGUGAUAAAUCAAAGGUUAGUCUUAGGACCAUAUGAGUAAACAAGCUAGCUAGAUAAACUCCCCACAUUCCUUCAUUUCUACUCUAAUUUAACUAAGGGGACAAAGCUGCCUUCAGGCAAGUACUAUAUGUAAUAACCCCCAGGCCUUCCAAUAGGGUUUGUGUAUAUUUUCUAUAACUAAAAUUUUUCCCACCAGCCUGACUGAACCCCCACAAAUUUACACCGAAGAUGACAAAGGCUUAGACUGAGAUGGUGACAGUGGGAAUGGAGAGUCAGAAUCUGCAGGCUAUUUAGGAGUGGUAGAGAAGGUGCUUCCUCUAUCCCAUAGGUAGGCACCAAGGGCUAAGCUUGCAGACCAUAGCCACAAGUUGCUGGUGGGUGUCU
rnacentral:lncRNA from 10 species